GCCUGUAUAGCUCAGUUGGCAGAGCACCUGCUUCACACGCAGGUUGUCCGGGGUUCGAGUCCCUGUGCAGGCA
rnacentral:tRNA from 1 species